rnacentral:rRNA from 1 species
CUACGGGGGGCAGCAGUGGGGAAUAUUGCACAAUGGAGGAAACUCUGAUGCAGCAACGCCGCGUGGAGGAUGACACUUUUCGGAGCGUAAACUCCUUUUAUAUAGGAAGAUAAUGACGGUACUAUAUGAAUAAGCACCGGCUAACUCCGUGCCAGCAGCCGCGGUAAUACGGAGGGUGCAAGCGUUACUCGGAAUCACUGGGCGUAAAGAGCGUGUAGGCGGGUUAAUAAGUUGGAAGUGAAAUCCUAUGGCUCAACCAUAGAACUGCUUCCAAAACUGUUAACCUAGAAUAUGGGAGAGGUAGAUGGAAUUUCUGGUGUAGGGGUAAAAUCCGUAGAGAUCAGAAGGAAUACCGAUUGCGAAGGCGAUCUACUGGAACAUUAUUGACGCUGAGACGCGAAAGCGUGGGGAGCAAACAGGAUUAGAUACCUUUGUAGUC